rnacentral:rRNA from 1 species
AUUGAACGCUGGCGGAAUGCUUUACACAUGCAAGUCGAGCGGCAGCACGGGGGCAACCCUGGUGGCGAGCGGCGAACGGGUGAGUAAUACAUCGGAACAUGCCCAGUCGUGGGGGAUAACACUUCGAAAGAAGUGCUAAUACCGCAUACGUCCUGAGGGAGAAAGCGGGGGAUCGCAAGACCUCGCGCGAUUGGAGUGGCCGAUGUCAGAUUAGCUAGUUGGUGGGGUAAAGGCCUACCAAGGCAACGAUCUGUAGCUGGUCUGAGAGGAUGAUCAGCCACACUGGGACUGAGACACGGCCCAGACUCCUACGGGAGGCAGCAGUGGGGAAUUUUGGACAAUGGGGGCAACCCUGAUCCAGCCAUUCCGCGUGAGUGAAGAAGGCCUUCGGGUUGUAAAGCUCUUUCGGCAGGAACGAAACGACGAGCUCUAACAUAGCUUGCUAAUGACGGUACCUGAAGAAGAAGCACCGGCUAACUACGUG